GAAUCUGCCUUUUUCCAGCCACUGACCCCCUUCAUUGUCCCCCUCUUCUACCUGCACAGGUACUGAGCACGUCGAAAGGUCUGCCAUAUACACGUGACCUAUUUAUUUAUUUAUUUCUUGACCGCCCCAUGGCAUUUGGAGUUCCUGAGCCAGGGAUCAGAUCUCAGCCUUUGUGACUUAUGCCACAGCUGUGGCAAUGCCAGAUCCUUUAACCCACUGCGCCGGGCUGAGGAUCGAACACGUGUCCUGGUCUUGCAGAGACGCCACUAAUCCCCUUGCGCCACAGCGGGAACGCCCGCAGAAUGCACUUUAAAACCCCUUGCCACUUCCCACUAGCAUUCUUCAUUUCCUUACAGCCUCAAGCAUGGCACACAUCAGGGCUUUUUCUCCUAAGUGUGAGGCAGAGCUGAUGGUUUUUCCACCCAUUUCUGUGCUGAGUAGGAUGUUUUGUACUAGGGGCUUAGCCACAAUGCUUCCUGUCUUCAUCCGCUUGGGCUGCUCUAAGAAAAUACCACAGACCAGGCGUGGUAUUUAUUUUUCACAGUUUUGGAGGCUGGAGUCUGAGAUCAGGGUCAGGCGAGGAUCCUCUUCCGGGUCACAGAUUUCUCCUUGUAUCCGCCCAUGGCAGAAGGGGGUAGAGAGCUCUGUGGGGCCUCUUUCAUGAGACAUGAAUGCCAUUUGUGAGGGCUCCACCCUUAUGACUUCCCUCCCAAAGGCCAUAUCUCCUAAUACCAUCAUUUCGGGGGGUUAGGAAUUCCACAUAGGAAUUUGCGGUGGUGGGGGGGACACAAAUGUUCAGCCAGAGCAAUUCUCUUCCAAUGGGUUUUGGUCCAUCUGUGCCCUGGUGAGAUGGAGCGUGACAUGACGAGGACAGAGCCUGCAGAGACGCAAGCAGCAAAUGCUUUUGUUGUUGUUGCUCUGACCAGUUCUUUAAGUCCCACGCAGAGACCAUCGAGAAGGGGAGGACAAGGGGCACCAGGGCACAGCAGCUGGUGGCUGGGCUCCCGGCUUGAGAUGAGAGGAUGUGUGUGCACUGACGUUGUGUAAACUUCCACAUUCCACCACUUCCUCUGCAUCAGCGGUCAGGCGGUAUGCUUGCCAGGAGCAGAGCUCUCUCAUCACAGCAACUACUCCUGCAAUUCAAACUGGCUGCCUUUACAGGAACUACAUGGAAGCUUUCAUCCUGUAAGAGAAGGCUGCGUGAAGCUGAAGCCGCGAGGAUGGAGAUGCAGCUGUUGCUCAAGGCUGGCAUCUUGUCAGCAACAGAGAGCUGCUGUGUGACGUCAAACAGGGAACGAGCAGAGAAUACCAACAUGGACAUGCAAUGCCAACAUCUCUUUCCUGGGAUGCCUUAAAACUAUCUUAGGACCAUAGAACCACAACACUGGAAGAUACCCUUGAACUUGUCUAUUUAACCUGUGCAUUUAGUGGAUGGUGAAACCAAGAUUCAGAGUUGCCGGGGUUCACGCAGCGAUGAGGAAGAGGAUUAAAGUUAGAUGGUUUUUGAGGGUUCCUCUGAGCAUUGUUCAGUGAUUCUUUCGACUCUUGGGUUCUACCUGAGAGUUCUCCCCCUCAGGCCAUGACCACCCUGUGAAACUCAUUAAACGUAAGCGAGUAAGCUUCUAGAAUAUAGAACUGGACUGAAUUCUUGAUCACAACCAAGACCCACCUAACCUUUUCCACCUCCUCUGCAUAACCAAUGCUGUCCUAAGACUGUGGUUCUCAGUCUUGGCUGCGCAAUAGAAUCUCCUUAAGGAUCUGAUACUCAGAUCCUACCCCAUAUCAACUGAAUCAGAAUCUUGGGGGUAUUGCCUAAGACAUUUUUUCUUAAAAAAAAAAAACGUCCUGGGAGUUCCUGCUGUGGCACAGUGGGUUAAGGAUUUGGCAUUGCCACAGCUGUGGCAUAGGUCACAGCUGCAGUUUGGAUUCUAUCCUUUCCUCAGGAACUUACGUAUGCUGCAGGUGCAUCAGAAAAAGAAAAAGAAAACAAGAACCUUUCCAGUUAAUUCUAAUAUUCAGACAGCAUUGCUAAACUGCUAAGUUUGGCUCAACUCGUGACUAAUGUUAAUAUUAAAUCUAUCCACUCUCCUCUCCCAUCUCUACUCAACACAGUUACACUCUCUGACCUCCCUACUUGCUGGAUUAUCACGUGUACACUCUUUUAGGAUAAGAAGUGCCUACAAGUUAGAAAAUGGAUUUCUGUUAUAAACCCAUUUUUCGGAUGGGGAAAACUGAGCCUGAAGAAACCAAACAAUUUCAAUGUAACAGUAGCUGAGUCAUGAAUAAAUCCAAGGCAUUUGGGACAGCUCCCCUUCCCACAACAUAUCAGAUACCAAUUGCAAGUCCAGGUUGCCACCUGUACCUCUGACCCACAGAAGUUUCCAGUACCCCACUGGUUAAUUUGCUAGAGUGGCUCACAGAAUUCAGAGAAACAUUUUACUCACUAGGUCACUGGUUUAUUAUCAUAUAAAAGGACAUAACUUAGAAACCGCCAGCUGGAAGAGAUACAUUGGGCAGGGCACAUAGGAAGGGGCUUGGAGCUUCCACCAUCUCCUGGCAUUCUCCACGCAAGCGCCAACCCCGAAGCUCUCUUGCUGUCUGGGGCUUCAUGAAGGCUUCAUUCCAUAAUCACAACUGAUUAGAUCAUUGUCCAUUGGUGACUGAACUCCAUCUCCAGCCCCUCUCCCCUCCCUGUGUAAAUGAUGAGACCAAGGGUAUGGAGCACUGAAUUGGCCCUGGGGAUUGCUACCUUUCUUCUUUUCCUGGCAUGCCUAUUUAAACGGUUAUUUUCACCUUCCAUCAAAUGUACAGUUUAAUACCUAUAAUUUACAUCCAUGUGUGAAAUUAAAACUGAUAAUUAUUAUGAUGGUAAUAAUCACUAACAUCUGUUGAGUGCUGAAUAUCACCUGCUUUUUUGGUAUUAGCUGAGUUAAUCCUAACAAUACCCCUGGAACUCGACAGCACUAUCCCCCUUUUACAGCAAAAUAAACUUGCUUCUGCUUUU
rnacentral:lncRNA from 1 species